CUGCUGCUGCGUCUGCUGCUGAGUCUGCUGCUGCGUCUGCUGCUGCGUCGCUGGAUCGGGAUCCCCCUCGUAAUCUGGCAGGAUUAUCCUUUGGACAGAAAGUGGCUGGCCAAAGAUAAGAGCCACUAUUCUUUCUCGGGGAGUUUGGCCGCUGAGCUCCUCCUCUUCGAGACGGACCAGCGUUGGAAGCGAUUCCUCGGAGAUGGCCGGAUCUGGAUGUUGAUGAUGAUGGCUGCUCCGAUCCUGAUUUUGAGGCUGCAGCGGGCGGAAGUGUUGGAGCAGCUGUUGCAGAUAACGUGGUCUCUGCAAUCGCUGUGGUUCAUACGGCUGCAGUAAUAGUUUCCGAGCCUCCGGAUUGACAUGGCAAGCCAAGGAGUUGGCGAAGCGCCCACUUGCCGCAUGGAACACUUCGUCGAUUGUGUCUAGAUUGCUUUGCACCCGUCGCAGCUGGGAAUCGGAUGUAAGUGCGCCCCAAACCGGAAGACCAUAUUGCCAAAUGGGCAUGAUGAGCUGCUUGAUGACUAUAGCCUUGGUUUCGCUUGGUAGCCGGCUUUUUGGGCCAGCAAGCCAGUCCAGUUUGGCCGCUCUUGAUCGGAGUUUUGUGCAGAUCCUCGUGAUGUGUGAGCUUAGGGUGAUUUGGACAGCUCCAAUGCAUCCACAAUCUGCAUCAGCUCAGGCAGUGUGACUGGUCUGAAGGGAAUCCUGGUUUCCUGGUCCGGUUGUAGCUGCUUCUGCCGUUUUGACUGCUCACGCUCUCUAUUGAUUGCGGCCCGCUCUUCAUCUGAAUUGGACAGUAUCGGGCUGAAUCUCUCCUCCAGGAUUGUGAGCCCCUUGUUAAGACGAUUUUGCGCCGCCCUGUAGUUUCGUCUGGCUUCGAUGGUGCGGGUCGCCAGCCAGAUCCUCUUGCACUGCUGUUUGAUGGAGAGCAGCUCGCUUGUAGCCUCGUCCAGCUUGAGGUGAUGGUGCCGGUGAUGUUGCUGUGACCGCUGCUGAUGAUGAUGCUGACGCUGCUGUGGCCAUCUUCGAUGAGUGUUUGGAUGCUGCUGUUGGUGUUGUGUUGUUGCUGCUGCUGCUGCUACCCGUAUAUUGUUCAAAAACAAGUAAACGACGUCAUCAAUGUCCUGCGCUAUCCUAAUCUCGGUGUUGAGAUUGAUCAACCGUUCCAGCGACUUUUGGAACAGGCUGAUAUUGGCACGUGCUGGGAGCAGAUGUUUCCUGACUGUGGGCGUAGGAUGUCUACGUCCACCGCUGCCGAUCGUCAACUCCACCCUGAGCAGCAAGUGAUCAGAGUCCAAAUCCGAGCUUGAACGGAUACUCAGGGAUAGUGUGUGGCACCACCGGUGGCCAGCAAAUUGCAGCCGUUGUUGGUGUGUACAGCCUCCAUCAGUGCUUUCCCUCUGGCGCAUCCACGGGCAUUUCCCCACCACAUAUGCUUCGCGUUCCAGUCACCGCAUACAAGGAAGCCGGAUGCUGUUUCUUCGACGCAGAGUUCUUCAAAAUGUCUUAUCAAUCCAUGAAGACGAUGACAGGUGCACUCUGGAUGAAUGGCUUUGAAAUUGGCUGCAGAGCAGAGUGGGUGACAUCGUCCCGGACCAGGAUGGCUACUCCCCCUCUGCGAUCGUUUGCCGGAUUUUGUGCAGUGAAAACUUCGACCUCGUUCAACUUGUUUGUCACACCACACGCGUUCCAGAAGGCAAUUUUAAAAGUGUUGCCGUUCUGGCUGACGCUGUGGGUGGAGAUAGUCUGUACUGGAUUGACUUUUUGGUUUGACAGGCCAUUCGGGACUGGACUAUACAUAAAAGGCAUCAUUGGCGGAGGACAGGGCCAUGUCCAAAGAGUUUGGUGAACUGCUAUUUGUUGUUUUGCUUGUCUUAUUUGUAUUGAUGUUUAUUAAUUUAACUAUUGCAGAAAAUAGACUAUCGAUUUUGGCCUCAAGUCUUGA